AACGCGGUGAAACCCCGUCUCUACUAAAAACACAACAAAAUUAGCCGGGCGUGUUGGCGGGCACCUAUAGUCCCAGCUACUCGGGAGGGUGAGGCAGAAUGGUGUAAACCCGGGAGGUGGAGCUUGCAAUGAGCCAGGCCACUGCACUCCAGGAUGGGUGACAGAGUGAGACUCUGUCUCAAAAAAUAAAUAAAUAAAUAAAAUAAAUUCAUAUACAGAAAUAAAUGUCUCAUCUGUGUUUGUCUAAUUCCGGGUAUCCCUGUAUACUUAUUGGCCAUGAGAGUGUGAGACUCUGUAGGGACUUGUGAGCCCACAAAUUCUUUUCUACAUAGAACAAGUACUAAGGAUGCCAUCUUAUAUAAGAGCCAACAUGUGCACACACUAGGUCCUGAAGAUUUGUAUCUUACAUUGCAGUCUGUGGCCAGUUACUUUGGGUUAGAACACCCCAGAUUUGAAUGAAGCGGAGCAUCCAGAUGGCUUCAAGGGUGGGUUUCAGGUACCUCUGCUCCUUGGUCACUGAGGGCUCCCACCAGAACAGUGUAGGCCAGUCUGUAAAUAGCCAUCCCCACUUUAGAAAGCACAUGCGCUGCACUAAACACUUAGGUAUCUCUGACUCACGCCCUGCUCGUACUGGGAGAGACUUUAGUUAAACCAAACUGUAAAUUUAACAACUGAGAAAAUGAAACCGUUAAAAGAUAAGCAACUUGCCCAAAGUCAUACCGCCAAUGAGAACAGCUAAGUCUCAAAAUCAUGUCUCCAGACUCCUAGGACAGUGCCCUUUAGAGCAUACUGUGACAUUCAGUCAUAUUCUUGGUGCCUGUACAGCUUUUAGUUCUUGAACUCCUGGCCUCAAGCAAUCCUCCUGCCUCAGCCUCCCAAAUGCUGGGAUUAUAGGCGUGAGCCACCACAUCUGGCCCUAUAUUAUUAUUUACAUCUUUUUGUACGUUAGAGGUAUUUCCUAAUAAAUUAAAAUAAAUUCGUAUACAGAAAUAUUAAUAAAUAUGUCACCUGUCCUUAGUUCAUUAGAUUAUAUGAUGAUUCUUCAAGUUAUAUGAUCUCAUGCCCUGUCUGAUUCCAUUUGGGGAAUACGCAUUCCUCCCCGACCUUAAAUCCAGCUCUCUUCUCCACUGAGAAUUCUCUCCCUCCCAUCUGUGGCUGAGAUUAAAGAUCUGCACCUGAAGCACUGAAGAAUGUGUGGGUAAUUAAAUUACCCUGCCGAUUCCUGGAGAUGCUGAUUACCUGGAGAUGACCUCAGAGAUUAUCCUAAAUUAACUCCUACAAGAUACAUAUUGCAGCGGGAGGUGAGGUAGGGGAAGGAUUGUGCACCUGAGGCUAGCAAAGGUUUCCACUCUGUUUAGAGAUGAUGUCACCAGUGCGUUUACAUUUGCGUUGUGUUCACACAUUGAGUGCUACUAUGUACAAGACCAUGUGUCAGACACUGAGGUAACAGGUAUAGCUACUAGAUAGAGUUCAUAGCUAUGGAGGCAAGCAGAUUCACUGACUGCUAAUUCUAACAUGAUGUGACAGUGCAACUAGAAAAACAUAAACAAGCACUAUGUGAGCACAAAGAAGGUGCACAUCAACUCCUUACAGGUACCUGUAAAAGCCAAAGGGUAACAGUUGGAUUGCACCUUGAAGAGGAUGCACUUUUUUUUUUUUUUAAGACAGAAUCUCAC
rnacentral:lncRNA from 1 species